AUGAGCGAUAAGGAUGACAACAAGGUGGAGAGCAAUGCUGACAAACGGACUCACCAUAAUUCACUGGAACGAAAACGUAGGGACCACAUCAAAGACAGCUUUCACAGUUUGGGACUCAGUCCCAUCACUCCAAGGAGAGAAGGCAUCCCGGGCCCAAAUCCUAGACAGAGCAACAGAGUAUAUCCAGUAUAUGUGAAGGAAAAUCCAUACACACCAGCAAGACAUUGAUGACCUCAAGCGACAGGACACUCUUCUGGAGCAACAAGUCCGUGCACUGGAGAAGGCAAGAUCAAGUGCCCAACUGCAGACCAACUAUCCCUCCUUAGACAACAGCCUCUACACCAACGCCAAGGGUGGUACCAUCUCUGCCUUCGAUGGCGGUUCAGACUCCAGCUCAGAGUCUGAGCCUGAAGAGCCCCAGAGCAGGAAGAAACUCCGGAUGGAGGUCAGCUAA